rnacentral:lncRNA from 1 species
AACUUUGAAAAAAAAUCAUUCCAGUAUUUUGGAUUCUAUCUUUGUUGCUAAUUGGUUUUUUAAAAAGAGGAUCUGUCUUUUCCUUCUGGCAGCUUUAAACAUCUCUUUUAAGUCUUUGAUUUUUGCUUGUUUUGUUUUUUAGGCUGCGUCCAAGGCAUGUGGAAGUUCCCAGGCUAGGGGUCAAAUCGGAGUUGUAGCUUCCAGCCUAGGCAGUGAGAUUCCUUAAACCAGAGAAUUUAUCCUUCACUGAGUUUGCAGUUAUCAGUAUUUUUCACUUUAAUUCCUGCCUUUAAGGCCCUUUUCAUUAUUCUCCUGGAACUAUGAUUUUUCUUAUGAUUAAUCUGUUUUCUCUUUUCCGAAUUUGCCAGGAUCUUGCUGAAACUCUUGGGUGCAAUAUUCUAGGAGAAAAUUCCUAAUUCACAUUUCCACCAAGAGUAUAACAGCAUGUCCGUUUCCCCAUAUUCACAACACUCGGCAAUAUCAGCCUUUACCUACCUAACAGGCUAACACUUAUUGCUCAUGCCUUUUUUAUUUCUGUUUUUUAUUUCUAUUUCAACACUCGGCAAUAUCAGCCUUUACCUACCUAACAGGCUAACACUUAUUGCUCAUGCCUUUUUUAUUUCUAUUUUUUAUUUCUAUUUCAACACACGGCAAUAUCAGCCUUUUCCUACCUAACAGGCUAACACUUAUUGCUCAUGCCUUUUUUAUUUCUAUUUCAUUGGUUGCAAAUAUGGACAAGCUUUAUUUCAGAUGCCUACAAUGCACUUGCAUUUCUACAUGUCCUUUGCUCAUUUCUCAGGGUGCGGAGUUUUUUUUAAGUUUGGUUUUUCUCAUUGAUUUAUA